UGAGUAAUACGUAGGUAAUCUUUCCUUGAGCGGGGGAUAACGAUUCGAAAGGAUCGCUAAUACCGUAUAAGUUCCAAUGGACUUUGGUCUGUUGGAGGAAAGUUAGGUAGUAAUAUCCGGUACUCGAGGAGGAGCCUGCGUUGCAUCAGCUAGUUGGUGGGGUAAUGGCCUACCAAGGUGAAGAUGCGUAGCUGGUCUGAGAGGAUGAUCAGCCACACUGGGACUGAGAUAUGGCCCAGACUCCUAUGGGAGGUAGUAGUGGGGAAUAUUGGAUAAUGGGCGUAAGCCUGAUCCAGCCACGCCGCGUGAGUGAUGAAGGCCUUUGGGUCGUAAAGCUCUGUGGGGAGGGACGAAUUGCUGAUGGUGUAUAGCCAGCAGCAUGAUGGUACCUCCUUAGCAAGCACCGGUUAACUUCGUGCCAGUAGUUGUGGUAAUACGAAGGGUGCAAACGUUGCUCGGAAUUAUUGGGCGUAAAGCGCACGUAGGCGGCUUAGCAAGUCGGAAGUGAAAUUCCUUGGUUUAACCAAGGAAGUGCUUUCGAAAUUGCUGAGCUUGAGUAUUUAAGAGGAUCGCGGAAUUCCCGGUGUAGAGGUGAAAUUUGUAGAUAUCGGGAGGAAUACCAGUGGUGAAGGUGGCGAUCUGGGAAGAUACUGACGCUGAGGUGCGAAAGCGUGGGGAGUAAACAGGAUUAGAUAUCCUGGUAGUCCAUGUUGUAAAUGAUGAGUGCUAGGUGCUGUGGGUAUUGAUUCCCGCGGUGCCGCAGUUAAUGCGUUAAGCACUCCGCCUGGGGAGUAUGGCCGUAAGGCUAAAACUCAAAGGAAUUGACGGGGGCCCGUACAAGCGGUGGAGCAUGUGGUUCAAUUUGACUAUGCGUAGAACCUUACCUGGGUUAAAUCCACCAGAACCUUGCAGAGAUGCAGGGGUGCCCUUCGGGGAACUGGUGAGAAGGUGCUGUAUGGCUGUCGUCAGCUCGUGUCGUGAGAUGUUGGGUUAAGUCCCGCAACGAGCGUAAUCUUUGUCGUUAGUUGCCAGUUUUAAGUGGGGUAUUCUAACGAGACUGUCGACGUUAAGUCGGAGGAAGGUGGAGAUGACGUCAAGUUUUUAUGGCCCUUAUGCCCAGGGUUAUACACGUGCUACAAUGGCCGGUAUAAAGGGAUGCAAAGCCGUGAGGUGGAGCUAAUCCCAAAAAACCGUCCUCAGUUUGGAUUGUAGUCUGUAAUUUGACUACAUGAAGCUGGAAUCGCUAGUAAUCGGAGAUUAGUAUGCUCCGGUGAAUAUGUUCUCGGGCCUUGUAUAUACCGCCCGUCACACCAUGGGAGUCAGUUGCUCUAGAAGUCGGUGUGCCAAUUUUGGAGGCAGCCGCCUAAAGAGUGACUGGUGACUGGGGUGAAGUCGAAAUAAGGUA
rnacentral:rRNA from 1 species